rnacentral:rRNA from 2 species
CCUACGGGAGGCAGCAGUGGGGAAUCUUGGACAAUGGGCGCAAGCCUGAUCCAGCCAUGCCGCGUGAGUGAUGAAGGCCUUAGGGUCGUAAAGCUCUUUCGCCAGAGAUGAUAAUGACAGUAUCUGGUAAAGAAACCCCGGCUAACUCCGUGCCAGCAGCCGCGGUAAU